rnacentral:rRNA from 1 species
UAGGUCGGAUUUAUAUCGGACGACCUGUUACUGAAAAAAUUGAAGGUUCGGGAAAAGGGACCGUGCUGAAAGAAAAUCAUUAGUCUUUUAAUUGAAGGCCGGAUGAAUGGUUUGACGAGAUAUUAGCUGUCUCAUUAUAAUUGGAGAAUUUAACUUUUAAGGAAAAGGCUUAAAUUUUAGUGGAGGACGAGAAGACCCUAUAGAGCUUUAUAUAGAAUAUAGUGAAAUAAAUUUUGGUUGAUUUAUUAUAUUAUGUUAUAUAUUGUGUUGGGGUGACAUAAAGAUAUAAGUAACUCUUUAUUUUUAGAACAUAAAUUUAUGGUAUUUUGAUCCAGUAAUACUGAUUAUAAGAAUAAGUUACCUUAGGGAUAACAGCGUAAUUAUUUUUGAGAGUUCUUAUCAAUAAAAAAGAUUGCGACCUCGAUGUUGGAUUAAGGAGUAUUACUAGGUGUAGUCGUUAGUAAAUAAGUCUGUUCGACUUUCAAAUCCUUACGUGAUCUGAGAUCAGACCGGUCCGUCGCCUGUUUAUAAAAAACAAUUUUUUUUAUAAAAGGGCGAACCGGCUAAUUUUAAAAAAAAAU